CCGCAAGACCUCAUGCUCGUGGAGCGGCCGAUAUCUGAUUAGCUAGUUGGUAGGGUAAAAGCCUACCAAGGCAUCGAUCAGUAGCUGGUCUGAGAGGACGACCAGCCACACUGGGACUGAGACACGGCCCAGACUCCUACGGGAGGCAGCAGUGGGGAAUUUUGGACAAUGGGCGCAAGCCUGAUCCAGCAAUGCCGCGUGAGUGAAGAAGGCCUUCGGGUUGUAAAGCUCUUUUGUCAGGGAAGAAACGGGUUGAGCUAAUAUCUUGGCCUAAUGACGGUACCUGAAGAAUAAGCACCGGCUAACUACGUG
rnacentral:rRNA from 1 species